UUUAUCAAUAUUGUUGUUAGUUUCUUUCUGAAUUGUCUGGUCCCAGACAGGUGAAACAUAGGUCGUAUCCGAGGCAGUCAAUAAUGUGUAGGAGUACUAAAUGCACUAGACUCUGGAUUACAGAGGAUCUUCCAGGAGCCUUCAUCACGUUCACCGGAAUACAGAGAAAACCAUAAUGUGGAAGAGAACAUUCCUCCCGGAUUCAUAGGCACGCAAUUGGUGAUAAAGUGAAUCGCAUUGGAAAUAUAUACUUGUAUAGAAAAGGUUGCCGACAUAAAUGUCCCUGAAGUAUAUUCGAAACAUAAGUUGAUUAGAAAUGCAGCAAUAGAGUAAAACAAUGUGGAUAACCUGUA